CACGGGGGGAGCAAGCGUUGUUCGGAAUCACUGGGCGUAAAGGGCGUGUAGGCGGUCAAGUAAGUGGAAUGUGAAAGCCCCCGGCUUACCCGGGGAUCUGCAUCCCAAACUGCUUGGCUUGAGUACGGGAGAGGAUAGGGGAAUUCCUGGUGUAGCGGUGAAAUGCGUAGAUAUCAGGAGGAACACCGGUGGCGAAGGCGGCUCUCUGGACCACUACUGACGCUGAGGCGCGAAAGCUAGGGGAGCAAACAGG
rnacentral:rRNA from 1 species